UUGAUCUACUGGGGGAGUCCUAACUUGCAGGGCUGAGAGGACAGAGCGUGUCUGUUGACCCUUUUUACCUGAUCCAGGUCAUGCUGGCGAAGGGAAGUGGUUAGAUUUGGUG
rnacentral:ncRNA from 2 species